ACUGCUCAGUAACACGUGGAUAACCUACCCUUAGGACUGGGAUAACCCCGGGAAACUGGGGACAAUACCAGAUACAUAGAGAUGCCUGCAAUGGUUCUUUACUGAAAUGUUCCGACGCCUAAGGAUGGAUCUGCGGCAGAUUAGGUUGUUGGUGGGGUAAAGGCCCACCAAGCCUUUGAUCUGUACGGGUUGUGAGAGCAAGAGCCCGGAGAUGGAACCUGAGACAAGGUUCCAGGCCCUACGGGGUGCAGCAGGCGCGAAACCUCCGCAAUGCGAGCAAUCGCGACGGGGGGACCCCAAGUGCCACUCUUAACGGGGUGGCUUUUCUGAAGUGUAAAAAGC
rnacentral:rRNA from 1 species